rnacentral:rRNA from 1 species
AAAACUUUCAACAACGGAUCUNUUGGUUCUGGCAUCGAUGAAGAACGCAGCGAAAUGCGAUAAGUAAUGUGAAUUGCAGAAUUCAGUGAAUCAUCGAAUCUUUGAACGCACAUUGCGCCCCUUGGUAUUCCGAGGGGCAUGCCUGUUCGAGCGUCAUUA